rnacentral:lncRNA from 1 species
UUAAAUCGAUUCCACGUAAUUUCGUCGUAAAUGGAAAAAGACGGGCCUGGUAACUUCGUCGUAAACGGAAAAGCCUGGUAAAUCGAUUCGACGUAAUUUCGUCGUAAAUGGAACAAGACGGGCAUGGUAACUUCGUCGUUAACGGAAAAGCCUGGUAAAUCGAUUCGACGUAAUUUCGUCGUAAACAGACGCGGGCCUGAUAACUUCGUCGUAAAUGGAAAAACGCGGGCCUGGUAACUUUGUCGUAUUAUUACGUCGCGUUUACGACGAAACGUUUUCUAUAUAUUGAUACGCCGAGAGCGAGGCUGCCUCGUUCAUUCCUCCCAAAUUCCUUUGCUCUCCCUCUAAGGUAAACUCCCUUUCCUCUUCUAUUUUUUUUUAUAGUUAGUUUAGGUGAUAAAUUAGUUAGGUAAUUAGUUUAGGUGAUUAGUUAGGUGAUAGAAUACUAUAGUUUAGGUGAUUAGUUAGGUAACGGAAUAAUUUUUUAAUUAUGUAGUAAUUGAUUAAAUUUAUUUUAAUUAUUUUAGAUGGCUCCUAGGAGGAAACCAGCGGCACCUACUUAUGCCCAGUUGUUUGGCGAUGGUUCCAGUACAUCUUCUUUCGGUCCAUCGUCUUCCGAUGCAGUUCCAGACUCUCAGAC